rnacentral:rRNA from 1 species
GAGGUUAAGCGACUAAGCGUACACGGUGGAUGCCCUGGCAGUCAGAGGCGAUGAAGGACGUGCUAAUCUGCGAUAAGCGCCGGUAAGGUGAUAUGAACCGUUAUAACCGGCGAUUUCCGAAUGGGGAAACCCAGUGUGACUCGUCACACUAUCAUUAACUGAAUCCAUAGGUUAAUGAGGCGAACCGGGGGAACUGAAACAUCUAAGUACCCCGAGGAAAAGAAAUCAACCGAGAUUCCCCCAGUAGCGGCGAGCGAACGGGGAGGAGCCCAGAGCCUGAA